CCUACGGGAGGCAGCAGUGGGGAAUCUUGUGCAAUGGACGAAAGUCUGACACAGCCACGCCGCGUGCGGGAAGAAGGCCUUCGGGUUGUAAACCGCUUUCAGCAGGAACGAAAAUGACGGUACCUGCAGAAGAAGAUGCGGCCAACUACGUGCCAGCAGCCGCGGUGAUACGUAGGCAUCAAGCGUUGUCCGGAUUUAUUGGGCGUAAAGAGCUCGUAGGCGGUUCAGCAAGUCGGGUGUGAAAACUCUGGGCUUAACCCAGAGCCUGCACUCGAAACUGCUGUGACUAGAGUUCGGUAGGGGAGCAGGGAAUUCCUAGUGUAGCGGUGAAAUGCGCAGAUAUUAGGAGGAACACCAAUGGCGAAGGCACUGCUCUGGGCCGAUACUGACGCUGAGGAGCGAGAGCGUGGGUAGCAAACAGGAUUAGAUACCCUGGUAGUCCACGCCGUAAACGAUGGGCACUAGGUGUGGGUCUCUAACCAACGAGAUCUGCGCCGUCGCUAACGCAUUAAGUGCCCCGCCUGGGGAGGUACGGUCGCGAGACGAAACUACAAGAGAGUAGACGNGNGAGAGCGACGACGACGACGACGGAGGAGGAGG
rnacentral:rRNA from 1 species